UACGAAGGGGGCUAGCGUUGUUCGGAAUUACUGGGCGUAAAGCGCGCGUAGGCGGUCCGCCAAGUCGGGGGUGAAAGCCCGGGGCUCAACCCCGGAACGGCCUCCGAGACUGGCGGACUGGAGUGCGGAAGAGGGUCGUGGAAUUCCCAGUGUAGAGGUGAAAUUCGUAGAUAUUGGGAAGAACACCGGUGGCGAAGGCGGCGACCUGGUCCGUAACUGACGCUGAGGCGCGACAGCGUGGGGAGCAAAC
rnacentral:rRNA from 1 species